GGGGACCUACGGGAGGCAGCAGUGGGGAAUAUUGCACAAUGGGGGAAACCCUGAUGCAGCGACGCCGCGUGAGUGAAGAAGUAUUUCGGUACGUAAAGCUCUAUCAGCAGGGAAGAAAAUGACGGUACCUGACUAAGAAGCCCCGGCUAACUACGUGCCAGCAGCCGCGGUAAUACGUAGGGGGCAAGCGUUAUCCGGAUUUGCUGGGUGUAAAGGGAGUGUAGGUGGCAUGGUAAGCCAGAAGUGAAAACCCGGGGCUCAACCCCGCGGAUUGCUUUUGGAAGUAUCAGGCUGGAG
rnacentral:rRNA from 1 species